rnacentral:tRNA from 1 species
GGGAACUUAGCUCAGCUGGGAGAGCACCUGCAUUACAAGCAGUGGGUCACAUGUUCGAGCCCUGUAGUUCCCACCA